AUUGAACGCUGGCGGCAUGCCUUACACAUGCAAGUCGAACGGUAACGCGGGGCAACCUGGCGACGAGUGGCGAACGGGUGAGUAAUGCAUCGGAACGUGCCCAGUAGUGGGGGAUAGCCCGGCGAAAGCCGGAUUAAUACCGCAUACGACCUACGGGUGAAAGGGGGGGAUCGCAAGACCUCUCGCUAUUGGAGCGGCCGAUGUCAGAUUAGGUAGUUGGUGGGGUAAAAGCCUACCAAGCCGACGAUCUGUAGCUGGUCUGAGAGGACGACCAGCCACACUGGGACUGAGACACGGCCCAGACUCCUACGGGAGGCAGCAGUGGGGAAUUUUGGACAAUGGGGGAAACCCUGAUCCAGCCAUGCCGCGUGCGGGGAGAAGGCCUUCGGGUUGUAAACCGCUUUUGUCAGGGAAGAAACGCUCUAGGCUAAUACCUUGGAGUAAUGACGGUACCUGAAGAAUAAGCACCGGCUAACUACGUGCCAGCAGCCGCCGUAA
rnacentral:rRNA from 1 species